GUCUCUCUCCUCUGUUCGUGUUGCUACCGCGAGCGAAGUCUCGUUGUUGUCGUCGCUGUUGUGUUGCUGCUGUCCUUUGUCGCGAGCCGCUGAUGGUGGUUUCUCUACUUGCCGCCAUUACUCUGCCGCGUGGUAGUGUUGUUGUUAUGCGGUGAUGUUUGCUGGUUGUGCGAUGUACCAAAAGUAUCUUAUAUGUUUCAGGUUGAAGCCGUGAGUUAUUCUUUUGCAAGCUGAAGCGGAUACGAGAUGGUGCAGUAUUAUAUUUGUUAUUGAAGUGAGGACGCUCCACUUGUAAUAGUUAAUCGUUUAAUUAUUUUUAAUAAUCUAUUUCAUUAUUUAAGAACCGGUAGCUAGUGCUCCUGAUUCUCUGUUGGUUGUUGCUCCGCGAAAGCGUUGAGGUUGUUGAGCUUUGGGAUUUGGAAAUAUUUUAUAAUUUGAAAUUGCAACA